rnacentral:tRNA from 1 species
CGACAGCUGCAGGAUUCGAACCUGCGCAAGCAAAGCUCAUUGGAUUUCAAGUCCAACCCCUUAACCACUCGGGCAAACUGUCAA